UUCGGCUUGUGGCCGACAGUUUCUUUAGAGUGCCGCCUUGCGGCAUGGCAACUAAAGAUAAGGGUUGCGCUCGUUGCGGGACUUAACCCAACAUCUCACGACACGAGCUGACGACAGCCAUGCACCACCUGUGAUCGAGUCCCGAAGGAGGGCCGUAUUUCUACGGCUUUCCCGACCAUGUCAAGCCUUGGUAAGGUUCUUCGCGUUGCGUCGAAUUAAACCACAUGCUCCGCUGCUUGUGCGGGCCCCCGUCAAUUCCCUUGAGUUUUAGCCUUGCGGCCGUACUCCCCAGGCGGGGUGCUCAAUGCGUUAGCUGCGGCACGGGAGGAGUCGACACCUCCCACACCUAGCGCCCAUCGUUUACGGCGUGGACUAC
rnacentral:misc_RNA from 1 species